GCCUGGGUGGCUCAGUCAGUUAAGCAACUGACUUCGGCUCAGGUCAUGACCUCACGGUCGUGGGUUCAAGCCCCGCAUCGGGCU
rnacentral:tRNA from 1 species